ACUCAAAGGAAUAGACGGGGGCCCGCACAAGCGGUGGAUCAUGUGGUUUAAUUCGAAGCAACGCGCAGAACCUUACCUGGGUUUGACAUCCUCUGACAGCCGUAGAGAUACGGUCUUCGUAGCAAUACGACAGAGUGACAGGUGCUGCAUGGCUGUCGUCAGCUCGUGUGGUGACAUGUUGGGUUAAGUCCCGCAACGAGCGCAACCCUUAUCUUUAGUUGCCAGCAUUCAGUUGGGCUCUCUAGAGAGACUGCCGUGGUUAACACGGAGGAAGGUGGGGAUGACGUCAAGUCCUCAUGGCCUUUAUAUCCAGGGCGACACACGUGAUACAAUGGUUGGUACAGAGGGAAGCGAACGGGUGACCGGGAGCCAAUCUCAAAAAGCCAAUCUCAGUUCGGAUUGGAGUCUGCAACUCGACUCCAUGAAGUUGGAAUCGCUAGUAAUCGCGGAUCAGCACGCCGCGGUGAAUACGUUCCCGGGCCUUGUACACACCGCCCGU
rnacentral:rRNA from 1 species